rnacentral:rRNA from 1 species
UGGGGGAUUUUGCACAAUGGGCGCAAGCCUGAUGCAGCGACGCCGCGUGAGGGAUGAAGGCCUUCGGGUUGUAAACCUCUUUCGCUGGGUUGAAAGGCCAUGCUUUGGGUGAGGUUGAUUUGAACUGGUAAAGAAGUACCGGCUAACUACGUGCCAGCAGCCGCGGUAAUACGUAGGGUACUAGCGUUGUCCGGAUUUAUUGGGCGUAAAGGGCUUGUAGGUGGUUUGUCGCGUCUGUCGUGAAAUCCUGUGGCUUAACCAUGGGCUUGCGGUGGGUACGGGCAGGCUUGAGUGCGGUAGGGGAGACUGGAAUUCCUGGUGUAGCGGUGGAAUGCGCAGAUAUCAGGAGGAACACCGGUGGCGAAGGCGGGUCUCUGGGCCGUUACUGACACUGAGGAGCGAAAGCGUGGGGAGCGAACAGG